GCCUACGGGGCGCAGCAGUGGGGGAUAUUGCACAAUGGGGGAAACCCUGAUGCAGCGACGCCGCGUGAGUGAAGAAGUAUUUCGGUAUGUAAAGCUCUAUCAGCAGGGAAGAAAAUGACAGUACCUGACCAAGAAGCCCCGGCUAACUACGUGCCAGCAGCCGCGGUAAUACGUAGGGGGCAAGCGUUAUCCGGAUUUACUGGGUGUAAAGGGAGCGCAGACGGCUGUGCAAGUCUGGAGUGAAAGGCGGGGGCCCAACCCCCGGACUGCUCUGGAAACUGUAAAGCUGGAGUGCAGGAGAGGUA
rnacentral:rRNA from 1 species